AGUCAGUCAAGAGAUGGAUGAUCUCCAUGGCGUGCUUGAUGAUCCUCACAGCCAUCAGCUUCUUUCCGUUGUUCCUUCCGUGCAUCAUGAGAGAGUUCGUGAGCCUCUCAACGAUUGGGCACUGAGCCUUCCUGAACCUCUUCACAGAGUAUCUUCCAGCAGUGUGGGGGACAAAGGUCGCGUGCUUAGCAGGCUGAACACCAAUGUAGUCAACAAGACUAAUGUCUGUGACCUACCCAUUCACAAAAAAAAAAAACACAAGAUCAACAAAACAAAUACUAAGAACAUAGCCAUUGUUGCCAAUUUAAAUUUUAGAGAUCUAAUAUUCAAAAACAAACCAAACAACACAGAAAGUGUUGGACUUUAAGACAAAGAAACAUCAGGAUCAACCAAGUGUACUGAGACAAUAAAACAUGAAUUGAAAAUUAACAAAAAUAAAAACAAAAAGAGGACAUUUUUUCCGACAUAACUCCAUGAGUUAUAUCUAAUUCAGACAAUGUAACUAUUUUUUUGUAAUAGACCAAUCAUUUCAUUGUAGAAUUAGAUCCUAUAAAGAUUGCAAAUGAGCUAUCGUAAACUUACCGAAACGUCAUCAAAGCUCCAGCGAUUGAAGAGCUUGACCUCGUUGGUAAGCUGCUGCUGAAUCUCAGCGUCAAUCUCAACGGCGGCGGCCAUGGCUGGAAACACCAAACAAAAGCUUAGCCACAAGCACACACGCAAACCAGAGAAUCGAAGAUGAAGAAGAAAUCAAUACCUCAUCCUCCUUUCCUUUAGCAUGAAACCCCUCUGGUUGCUCCAUGUAAAAUCUCUUCUUCAAGUGUACCAUGAAGAAACACAGUCUUUACAUCAAGUUGCUUAAGCUCUGAAUCUAGAUUCACUUUAAUUGACAACAUGAACCUUAUGGAUACAUGUUUCACGACGGGUGAAAACACAUCUUGAUAAUGAAUACCCUCUCUUUGAGAGUAUCCUUUAACAACUAACCGAACCUUGAAUCUAGGCUUCUCAACACCAGGUAUACCAGAGUUCAGUUUAAAUACCCACUUCCAGCCUAUCACCUUACGCUUAGUAGCCUUCUCACAAGCUUCCAGGUUUGGUUCUUAUCCAGUGAAGUCAUCUCUUCACUACAUGCUUCAUCCCACGGUCUUCUCUCUUUGAUGUUCAUCACUCCAUGAUACUCUUGAGGUUCUUCAUCACAUACAUCAUCAGAUACAUAUAGCGCAAAUGCUGCUACAUCCUCUGAGUCAUAUUACUGUGCAUGUGGUACUAUUCUUCUCCGAACUAAAUCUCUUGCUAGCUGAUAUCCUUCCAGACGUUCACCUUCUUCAUCUACGUCAACCGCUGACUCAACUGUUUCGUCAACAGCUCCACCUGAAGUCUCAACUUCCGGUUCUGACGCAGAUCCUGCUCGAACUCCCAGCACAGCUGUGUCAACUGCUUUUACCUCGCAGAAAUUCAAAUCCUUGUAGACCUUAUAUUCUGUAAAUAUCAUAUUCUUGCUAAUAACACACUUUUUCGUUUGAAGAAGCCAAACUUUGUAUCUUUUCACACCUGAUGGAUAACUGACGAGGAUUCUCUUAUUAGCUCUGGCCUUGAGCUUUUUUGAUCUGCAUGGACGUAAACCGAUGAUCGAAAUCUUCUUAGGUGCAGAUAACCACGCUUCUUGUCCAACCAAAGUUCCUGUUCAUUGUACCAAUCUAUGGCAGAAGAUGGACUCAUGUUUGUCACAUAUGCUGACAUAGACACCACUUCAGCCUAGAAUUGUUCCUCUAUACCCGACUCCACCAGAAAACAUCUCACCUUCUCCAUCAGAGUCAUGUUGAUACGUUCAGCUACACCGUUCUGCUGUGGUGUAUGUGCACAUGUCCUAUGUCUCAUGAUUCCAUGGUGCUUGUAGAAGUUGUUAAACUCUACGUUACAGAAUUCAAGUCUAUUUUAUGUUCUAAGACAAUUUACCUUCUUCCAGACUUGAUUCUUCACAAACUUCUUCAAAAUUUGCUAAAUGCUUCACAUUUAUCAGCUAAGAAAUAUACUUAGGCCUUCCUUGUGUAAUCAUCAAUAAUAGACAAGAAGUAUUGAUUUCCUGACAGAUUUGGCAUCACAUUCAGAGAUCCCCAUAAAUCAGCAUUGACAAACGUUAGAGCUUCACCUGUAUCAUGUUUCCCGAUGUGGAAGCUUGAAAUCUUCUACUUCCCCAUCACACAGCUCUCACAAAACUCCAAUCUUCCUCUUAUCAAUCACCCCCUUUCAGGCCAGAAUCUGUAGAUUCUUCAUACUCAUGUGUCCAAGACGUCUAUGCCACAAGACUGUCUCAUCCUUAGAUUGUUUUUUCAUGACGCUUUUGUUCACUUCACCUGAAACAGUUUUACCAUCUAACAUGUACAAUGACCCAAACAAGGUUCCCUGAAAAGCUAAUUUACCAUGCUUGUAAAACCUAGUCUUAACAUGUCUACCACUGUGCUUAAAGCCUAAAAUAUCCAAGGUUCCAGUAGAUAUCAAGUUCCUACUAAACUCCAGAAUAUACAUGGCAUUCGUGAGUGUCUUCACAGAACCAUCAUAACCUUUGAUGUUGAUUGUACCAAUCCCUUGCACUCCAACCGCACAAUUAUUACCAAGAAGAACUUGUCCCAAAGUCAGCUUUUGGAACAUGUGAAACUAAUCCCUCAUACACGUCAUGUGAUAGGAACAUCCAAAAUCAAUCACCCACUUAUCAUGAUGCAACUUAUCUGAAACCGACAGUGCAUCAUUCUCUGAAUCAGGAUCUAUCACAACGGCUGCUUCAGCUUCGUCUUCUCCUCUACCAUGCUUCUUCUUGUAUGCAUAACACUCCCUCUUGGUGUGUCCCUGCUUCUUGGAGAACCAACAAGUUAUCCUAGACCCUGAGGCCGAUCUAGACUUGCCCUUAUCGUUCCUCACAUGAUCUUUCUUCUCAGUCAUUCCUCUAGCAUAAUAUCCUUCACCAUUAUCAUGUGAAGCAGUAGAGGUCUUCAGAUCCUGAUCCCUAGACUUUGCUACACUUGUUACCUCUUCUAACGAUAAUGUAUCCUUUCCGUACUUAAGCGUUUCCUUGAAAGAGUUGAACCGUGAAGGAAGUGAAUUCAGGAGCAGAAUCGCUUGUAUCUCCUCUGACACAGUUCCAUUCACGCUUGACAGGUAAGAGACAAUCUUCAAGAAUUAAUUUAUAUUCUCAUCCAUACUCCGAGUACACAACUUGAUCUUGCUUAACAAGUGAUCUCCAACAUUGAGAAUGAUCAGAUUCAUCGUCUUCCCUGAUCUUUCAAGGCUUUAAGCUUCCUCUUUCACCAACCGCUCCAUGUAAAAAUCACCAUCUUCAUCCUUCUGAAUCGCUGAUAUAGAAGGUGACAUAGACUCUUCUAAUACAUCCUUUAAACCAAGGACAUACAUAGCAUCCUCUUCUUCCACAAUGAGAAGUAUCCCUUCCCAUCAAACCGCUUCACUUCAAUUCUUGCAUUCGCCAUUGACAACCCCCACCUGGCUCUGAUACCACUUUGUUGAAACCACAAUAGAAAAACUGUUUGACUUUAAACCACAAUUAAACACACAAACUCCGACACACUCUUUGACGAGUAAUUCUUGGGUUCACCCCUAGGGUGAACCUAGACCCCUAAGGUGAACCUCUAGGUUCACCAACCAAUAGUUUAUGGUUAUUUGAUAUUUGAUAUCUUUUAAAAAAGGAAACAAAAUAAUAAGAAAUUUAAUUUAUAUUAUAUCUUUUAAAUAAAAAUAUAAAAAUGCCUAAAAAUAGUAAUAAUUGCAAAAAAAAAUAAUAAACUAACAUCGUUAAUGCCGCCAGCACAAUGCUAACCCCUAAACUCUAAAUCAUAAAUUCUAAACCCUAAGCUUUUCGAUAAACUUUAAAACUUUGGAUAAAUCCUAAACCCUAAAACAUCAAUAUUAAAAACUAAAUGUUAAUAACACUAAAUCCUAAAUCCUAAUCACUAAACCCUAAACCCUUGGGUAAAUCGUAAACCCUAAAACAUAAAUAUUAAAAACUAAAUGUUAAUAACACUAAACCCUAAAUCCUAAUCAUUAAACCCUAAACCAUUGGAUAAACCACGAACCCUAGAGUUUAUCAUUUAUUCAAGGGUUCAUGGGUUACCCAAGGGUUUAGGGUUUAGUGAUUAGGAUUUAUGGUUUAGUAUUAUUAAAAUUUUUUUUGAGAGUGGAGAUAAGAUGGUGUGUUUCUGAUAUUUAUGGGCCAAAUGGGAAUAAAUAUCUUUGCACAAAAUAUCUCAUUCUGAUUUUUAUUUACAAAAUUUGCCUCAAAACUUUAUUUUAUUGCUAAAUAUUCUGCUGCUAAUAAAAUUUGUCAAAUUUUGAUGAAUUUAUCUUAACGUCAUCUCUAAAAAAAGUAUGUAUUUAAAAAAAAUAUAGGUUUUCAUAAAUUUGUACACAAUUUUUUUAGAAAAUCUUAAUUUUCAAAAUAUUUUGUAUUUUUCUCACUUUAGUGGUGUUAGUUAUCUUUUUAUUGGAAGUCUCUACUUACUACUUGUCAUACGCUGAAGUGAGAUGACAGAUGAGAUGAGAUCUAAGCCGUAGAGUUUUGGAUGGACAGUGGAGAUGGCACGUCUCAUGCCAAGGCCCCAAAAAUAUAAAAAAUCUAUAAGAUAGGAUAUUUUAACUAAAAGCCAAUGGAAUUAACAACUCUCGUUCCAGCACAGAUCUUUAACUCCAAUAAAUUCAGAAAACAAUACAGUUCCUUUAAAGAAAACCACUGAAUCAUACAAAGGUUGCUCCAUUCAAAACAAGUUAAUAAGAAACUAUUUAUUUGGAUAACAAUAGAAGACUGAAGUUCUUGAACUGCAAAACGCUUUUAGGAUCUCUUCAAUUGGAGGGUCAUCUCGAGCUUCUUUGUCCUGAAAUGUUCCAACAAACAAGUUGUUGAGUACGAGAUUGUGAUUAAUUUAUCUCUUUGAUUACAUUGACAUGGUGUAAACACAAGUAUUUGAUCAAAACGUGUUACCUGGUCCAUACUCCCCGGUCCGAUCAAAACAUGAGAAACACCAGAUGCAUCCAUCACAUGCUAAGAAAACCUCAAAUGUAUCACUUAAUGAAAUGAUCAAAACCACAUCAAGAUUUUGACAUUGUUGUUUUUACUCCGGGAAAGCCGAAAGAAAUAAGAAAAAUCCUAACUUUAAGUUUUAGUUAGAAAAAAAAAUCAAAUUAAAAAAAUCUCGUGGAGUGGAGUUAUUACACGUUGCAUAGAUGACGUAAGCAUUGUCCGAAACAGAAAAAGUCAAACGCCACGUAAGCUCAGUAAGGGUAAAAAGUUUUGGAAAGGUAGAUCCUUUUCUAAAAGCGAAUGUUCCUUCUUUGCACGUUCAAGCGAUCUCAAGCCGCUCCUCUCUCUCUCUCUCUAUCAUCUCUGAAAUGGCGAGAGUACUGCGUGUGGCGAGAUCCUCCUCCUCCCUCUUCAGCUUCGGAAGCAGAUCUUAUUCAGCCGAAGCUAGCCACGUGUCCUCUCCCCCUCCUCCGUUUCUUGGAGCUCGCAGAGACGUUACCAAGGAGAGAAACGUGCAGUGGGUGUUCCUCGGUUGUCCCGGUGUCGGGAAGGGGACUUACGCCAGCAGACUCUCGAGUCUCCUCGGUGUUCCUCACAUCGCCACCGGAGAUCUCGUCCGUGAUGCGCUAGCUUCUUCCGGACCUCUCUCCCGACAGGUUCUUGUUUCACUUUAUGUCCAAAUGAAUCCCAAAACGACGUCGUUUUCUGUUUAAAUCUGCUAAAAGUUCAUGUGUCUACCAACAGAUCUAAUGAACUAGUGUUUGUUUUGUCCUAACGGAUCUGAUCCUUUUUCUAAUAAUAGUCAACGGCUCUCUCCUCUUGCUUGUAUUGAGAUUCUUAUUACUUGAUUGCAGCUAUCAGAGAUUGUAAACCAGGGGAAGCUUGUUUCUGAUGAGAUCAUAGUGAACUUAUUAUCAAAGAGACUUGAAGCUGGUGAAGCCAAGGGCGAAUCAGGUUUCAUUCUUGAUGGCUUUCCUCGUACCAUGAGACAAGCUGUAAGUUAAUUCAUUGACUUCACAUCAUAUUGAGCAAAGUUUUGAAUGAUUAAUCUUUGUGUUUUCAGGAAAUAUUAGGAGAUGUCACUGACAUCGAUCUAGUGGUGAACUUAAAGCUACCUGAGGAGGUUUUGGUUGACAAAUGCUUAGGGAGGAGAACGUGUAAUCAAUGCGGUAAAGGUUUCAAUAUAGCUCACAUCAACUUAAAGGGUGAGAAUGGGAAACCAGGAAUCAGCAUGGAUCCACUUCUCCCUCCACCUCAGUGUAUGUCAAAGCUCAUCACUCGUGCUGAUGAUACUGAGGAGGUUGUGAAAGCUAGGCUCCGUAUUUACAAUGAAACCGUAAGUCCUCUUUCUCUCUCUCUAUUGUUCUUCCCAUUUUAGCGAUGCUUGAUGCUUUGAAUGAUGUGUGCAGAGCCAGCCUCUUGAAGAGUACUACCGUAUCAAGGGAAAGCUGAUGGAGUUUGACUUACCUGGAGGCAUCCCUGAGUCUUGGCCAAGGCUGUUAGAAGCUUUAAGGCUUGAUGAUUACGAGGAGAAGCAAUCUGCCGCGGCGUAGUUCAACUACAACUCCGGUUUAUAAUUCUUUGCAUGUGGAAGACAUGUGCCUAUAUCAGUUUUGUGUUGGAAAAUAAAGAAAACCUUAGAUUGUUUUUUUUUAUUGCCUCAGAUCAGAAUAAUCAUCAUCAUACACACUUUGCAAACUAUAUGAUGUAUCAUGAUUGUUUAUGAGUUUGCUAGUUACAGGAAUGUAUAAACACUUUGGUACACUUUUGAUUAUUUAUUGUUGAAUGUGAUCAAUGAUUGUUUAUGAGUUUGCUAGUUACAUUACAUGAAUGUAUCAAUACUUACACUGCUUGUUACACAUCAGGUUUGAUGUUUGGGCUCUUGUGAUUAGUUUGUUUAUUGUUGAAUGUGUGUGAUAAUAUUGCGGCUGGCCGAGCUGGCUGGUUAAAGAACACAACCAGACAGUAAAGUAAAACAGUCGCAUACAUUAAAGAUUUUGUGGAACGUAUAACCAGCUCCUGUCUGUCCUAGAAUUGGCGGUUCGGGAUAGAACUGUUCCUUACAUACUGGAACUUCCAGUAGAAUUUGAUGCUAAUUGUUGGUCCUAAACUAGUGUGUAUCAGUUGCUAUGUGAUCUCAUAACUGGACCUUAUCUUAUGGUUUGUGCUUGAGGUUUCUGAGAAAUCGCUGGGUUCAUUUGAUUCUUCUGGUUUGACAAUUAGUUUCUUGUUAUGGACACGGUGAAAUCAGACUCAAAUCGGUGGAAUAAGACAGCCUCAAAGAAGGCAGACAUAAUCAUGUUUGCUCUUGAUUCAUCUUCAAUCUCAACAGGACAUUAAAAUCAAUUUGUAGCUUUAUUUUGUUAGUAUAUAGAUUUGAUGAAAUAAACAACCUUUAAAUUAUAAAUAUAAAGAUGAAAAUAUUCUUAAACAUGAAACCGUUUUGAUCAAGAUUCAAAAAAAACUUCAUUAAAAGAUAGGGACAUCUUCUGAAACAUAUCCAAAAAGCUCUAAUGAAAAACAGCAAGAUAAGGUCUUUGAGAUGUAAUGCAAACUCAAGGCCUAGGAAGAUCCUCCUUAACGGUUGGCCUUCGCAACUCUCUCAAUCUCAUCCUUCUUCUUGAUGGCAUAGCUGCAAAAAAACAAGACAAGAUGCUAUUAGUAUUUAGCAACAAACAAACACAAUUUGUGAACCCGCUUUAAGAGACAAGACAAUGUAAAGAUGUUUACCUGUUGGAAGAUCCCUUGGCAGCAUUGAUGAGCUCAUCAGCAAGGCACUCAGCGAUUGUCUUGAUGUUUCUAAACGCAGCUUCACGUGCACCAGUGGUGAGCAAGAAGAUGGCUUGGUUCACACGUCUUAGAGGAGAGAUAUCAACAGCCUGCCUCCUAACCACACCAGCAGAUCCAAUCCUCGUCGCAUCCUCACGUGGACCACUAGCUCACCAAUAAAACACACACAACAUUAGAAAAAAAGGUUUCUAGUAACACGCAAUAAAGAAUGCAACAUUGUUGUCUUACCUGUUGACAAUGGCAUCAAUGAUAACCUGAAUAGGGUUCAAGUCAGUCAAGAGAUGGAUGAUCUCCAUGGCGUGCUUGAUGAUCCUCACAGCCAUCAGCUUCUUUCCGUUGUUCCUUCCGUGCAUCAUGAGAGAGUUCGUGAGCCUCUCAACGAUUGGGCACUGAGCCUUCCUGAACCUCUUCACAGAGUAUCUUCCAGCAGUGUGGGGGACAAAGGUCGCGUGCUUAGCAGGCUGAACACCAAUGUAGUCAACAAGACUAAUGUCUGUG
rnacentral:lncRNA from 1 species